rnacentral:tRNA from 1 species
GGGGCUGUAGCUCAGCUGGGAGAGCGAAUGGUUCGCAAUCAUUAGGUCGGGAGUUCGAUCCUCCUCAGCUCCA